AUUAGAAUGUCAGAAUUGCAGCCGGAUAUAAUUGAUUAUAUAAGAUAUGUUGACGACAUUUUUGUUAUAUGGGAACCAGGUAGCAAAACAGAGAGACUGGCAGAGUACUUAACAAAAGAAUUGUAUAGGCUAUAUUUGAACCAGGACCAGUGCAGUGAAAUGCAAGUACAUUUUUUAGAGAUUGACAUAUCAGUACAAAACAAUAAAUAUAAGACAAGAGUAUAUCGGAAGCCUGCAUUCUGACUAGUACUUAUUCAAUUUUGGUCAAGAGACCCGAUUAAGUUUAAAAAAGCUGCAUUCCGCCCUUAGUUUGAUAGAGCAUAUAAGUACUAUAUAG
rnacentral:lncRNA from 1 species